rnacentral:rRNA from 1 species
GACGAACGCUGGCGGCGUGCUUAACACAUGCAAGUCGAACGGACGAGUGAGAUAAGUUUACUUAACUCACAAGUUAGUGGCGGACGGGUGAGUAACACGUGGAUAAUCUACCUGCAACACCGGGAUAACGCUGUGAAAACGGUGCUAAUACCGGAUACGUUCCCUUGUGCGCAUGUAUGAGGGAAGAAAGCUCAGGCGGUUGCAGAUGAGUCCGCGGCUGAUUAGCUAGUUGGUGAGGUAAAGGCUCACCAAGGCGAUGAUCAGUAGCCGGCCUGAGAGGGUGAACGGCCACACUGGGACUGAGACACGGCCCAGACUCCUACGGGAGGCAGCAGUGGGGAAUAUUGGACAAUGGGCGAAAGCCUGAUCCAGCAAUGCCGCGUGAGUGAUGAAGGCCUUAGGGUUGUAAAGCUCUUUUACCAGGGACGAAUAAAUGACGGUACCUGGAGAACAAGCCACGGCUAACUACGUGCCAGCAGCCGCGGUAAUGAGU